rnacentral:rRNA from 1 species
CCUACGGGAGGCAGCAGUAGGGAAUAUUGCUCAAUGGGGGAAACCCUGAAGCAGCAACGCCGCGUGGAGGAUGAAGGUUUUCGGAUUGUAAACUCCUUUUGUUAGAGAAGAUAAUGACGGUAUCUAACGAAUAAGCACCGGCUAACUCCGUGCCAGCAGCCGCGGUAAUACGGAGGGUGCAAGCGUUACUCGGAAUCACUGGGCGUAAAGGGCGCGUAGGCGGGAUAGCAAGUCAGAUGUGAAAUCCUAUGGCUUAACCAUAGAAUUGCAUUUGAAACUGUUAUUCUAGAGUAUGGGAGAGGUAGGUGGAAUUCUUGGUGUAGGGGUAAAAUCCGUAGAGAUAAAGAGGAAUACUCAUUGCGAAGGCGACCUGCUAGAACAUAACUGACGCUGAUGCGCGAAAGCGUGGGGAGCAAACAGGAUUAGAUACCCGGGUAGUC